GUGAAGGAUCUGUAAAGCUCAGGAGGGAUAGCGCCGCCAGCCGGGUCGAUCAUCAUCAUGUCGUUUCGAUGAUGUUAUGGUCUCAUCACUGGCGCUAUCCAUCCUGAGUUUUAGAGCUCCUUUGU
rfam:Punica granatum cultivar Dabenzi scaffold103, whole genome shotgun sequence.